GAUGAAGAACGCAGCGAAAUGCGAUACGUAGUGUGAAUUGCAGAAUCCAGUGAAUCAUCGAAUCUUUGAACGCACAUUGCGCCCGCCGGCAUCCCGGCGGGCAUGCCUGUUCGAGCGUCAUUUCAACCCUCGGGAGCCCCCCCGGGGGCUCGGCGUUGGGGACCGGCCCCGCCCCAGGGCGCGCCGCCCCCCAAAUCCAGUGGCGGUCCCGCCGCAGCCUCCCCUGCGCAGUAGCUUGCACACUCGCACCGGAGAGCGGCGCGGCCACGCCGUAAAACCCCCCGACCACGGAGCCCCGGCUCCUGAACGUUGACCUCGGAUCAGGUAGGAAUACCCGCUGAACUUAAGCAUAUCAAUAAGCGGAGGA
rnacentral:misc_RNA from 1 species